rnacentral:ncRNA from 1 species
UUUAUGGAGAGUUUGAUCCUGGCUCAGGACGAACGCUGGCGGCGUGCCUAAUACAUGCAAGUCGAGCGGACUCAACGGUUUCCUUCGGGAAACCGUUAGGUUAGCGGCGGACGGGUGAGUAAUACGUAGGUAACCUGCCCUUAAGACUGGGAUAACUCACGGAAACGUGGGCUAAAACCGGAUAGGCGAUUUGCUCGCAUGAGGGAAUCGGGAAAGGCGGAGCAAUCUGCCACUUAUGGAUGGACCUACGGCGCAUUAGCUAGUUGGUGAGGUAACGGCUCACCAAGGCGACGAUGCGUAGCCGACCUGAGAGGGUGAUCGGCCACACUGGGACUGAGACACGGC